GGCUAUUUUAACGUGACAAUGCUGCACGGGCCCAUGGUUCAUCAUCUUGCUCAAAUAGCUGAUGACUGUGCUCCUUCCCUCACACUCUACACACCCACUGUAACACUACCAGUAACGAUGGUUGGCCAUGCAAUAAUUCAGGUUAUAUAUGUGACGAACAACCCCAAUGUUCCCCUGACCUUCUAUCAGUGUGCCGACGUCAUCAUCGAUGACAGAGGCAAUCCUACAGGAAAAUAGUCAACAUAC